ACACAACACUAUAACAUUUAUGCUUUUUUAUGGGAGUUUUUUUGUGAGAAUUUUAGAAACUUCCACAAUAUAUUUGAUUUCUAACAAUUUAAAAAACUUCCGCAGAUAUAAUUAAUAAAGACUCCACUAUUAGUUCGAAAUUAAAAAUAAAACUCCCUUGCUUCACCCCCGAAAAGAAGAACUCCCACUCAAACAGGGGGAGAAUGAGAUCUGAGUGUUAGCAAAACAGAGAUUCAGAGAGAAGACAAAGCUCGCCACCAAAACCCUAAGUUUGCCGCCGUAGCCAUUGCCGCCUCUAUCACCACCGCAGUUCAUCUCCUCUCCAGAUCUAGUUGAUCGCAACGUCAAAGCCUUCGCGCACUUCAAAAUACAAAAACUUCUUUUGGAACAGAACAUACCACAUGUUGCAAUAGUCUCAGUAUGUGAGGCACCCAAUGAUCAUUAUAUUCUUCUUGAGGGAACCUUCCUCAAGCCUAACAUGGUUACCCCUGGCUCUGAUAGCCCAAAGAACACCUUGCACAUAUCUAGGCAAAAACAUUACAUUCUGUGUCAAUGAAGGUUCUACACCCUUUUGGCUAUCACUCUUGGCAGAGUGGGAGGAUGGAGAUGGAGACAUCAGCUCCAUGUAUUUAUAAGAAGUUUUAAGGGAUGGGCAGUGGCAAGAGCAAAAUGCAGCCAUAAUUUAAAAGGGUGUAAUGAUGACCACUUGAUCCUUGUUAAUUUUCAUACGAG